CAGCAGGAUUCCGAUGACGAUAUAGUUGUUUAGUGCUAUUUUAUUGUUCCCCUGCUCAAAGUAGAGUUGUUUCUUAGCAGUUCCUGUCUGCUGGUCUCUUGUAGCAGUCCAGGGAUGCUUGCUUUCAUCCAU
rnacentral:snoRNA from 1 species